AUCUCGAAUUCAGACUCAAUUCAUCAAUCAAACUUUUCAAGACAAUCAAACCCAUCCUUUAAUUCAACCCGUUAAACCAACAACCUCAUCUUCUGGUUCAUCUUUGAACUUCUUAUGAAACCCUAACUCUUGAUUCAAUCACCAGAACGAAUAUACCGCUUCAAUUAAACAUCGACCCCUUCAUUCUUUAACUGUUAACAACUCAGUUACUAAUCAACUCUAAACAAAAUCAAAUCUAAAUCUCGAAACCCUAAUUCCAUCUACAUCAGCAACUCAAUCCUCUUCAUCCCGUGCUCAAUUAACAUCAACAACAACUUCUACUGCAUCUGAUCUUCAUCAUAGAAUGAUUCUCUUAACCGAAUUCUUUAAUUUUACUCUCAAACACUCGUAGAAGAAGAAGAACACAGAAGAAGGAAUUAAAGAAGAAAUAAGAACGAAGAAGAAGAAGAAGAAACAAAAUAGGGAAAUCACCAAAACAGUCCUACAAUUAGGACCCGAUUUGCAAAAUGGUCAUACAGUUACAAACCAUUUACAAAUCAAUCACACUUCCGUUAUUUCUUUGAUUAAGUCAGUAGGUCCCACCGAGUCAGAGUUAAAUGACCAGGUAUCAUUACCAGUCUGUCCUUAACCUAACUACACUGAAUCUCUAGUCGCAAAUCUUGUUACUAUUAACCUCGAUGAUAGUUUAGACGGUCAGGAUGAGUAAGAUUAAUUAAAAUUAACAUUCUAUCCAUUAGAUAUGUAGCCAUAGAUCGUUUCAAAGGUACAUCUCGAUGAUUCUUUUAACGGACAUGAUUAGUCAAAACUAUCAUCCAUAUAUAACACAUUGGGGUUUUCUUUUCCAAAUCAUUUUUCUUCAGCCGCUUCUGUCUCCAUUACCAUUACAGAGCUCUGCAAAACUUGAGAUUCACUGAAGAAGAAGAUAUUUCGAGUGAGCGAAAUCGCAAGCAGAUACUUAUAAGAUUGUAUAGUUAGUGUGUAUGGUUUGUUAAUUCUCGUACGGUGAUUUUGUGAAGACUUUGGAGCUAAGACUAGCAUCUGAUUGUUGAAUACGGUGGUUUUCUUACAAGAUAUUAACACAAUGUUCACAGACGAGGAAUUUGAUGGAUGUGUUAGAACUGGAAGUUGGGGUUUUGAAGUUGUAUAUGAAGAAAGUGCAGAGAAAAAAUGGGUCCGGUGGUAUCUGUGAUGGAGAUUGAGUUGUGCUAUACAGUGGUUUAUGAAUUGGUGGCUUUGAGAUGAGAAGAUAUAGGCAGGAGGUUGCUGGUAAAAAUGGCCAGAGCACACAUCUGGUGUGACCACAUUGAGGAGUGUAACAUAAGUUCAGGAGUUCGUUGUUAGAAGGGCGGAGGGAAAUGAUGAUGCUAGCCAUGCUGAUGAUGCCAUGAGGUUGGUCGAGAAUAUGGAGGUGUUGAUGGUGGUUUUUAGCUUAGGGUUAAAAUCGUAAAACUUUGCAUCUGAUGUGACGUCACUCUGCAAGGAAACGGUGUCGUGAGUGCUAACUUCUCCACCGGCAUAUUUAUU